rnacentral:rRNA from 1 species
GAUUAUCAACUUUCGAUGGUAGGAUAGAGGCCUACCAUGGUGGUAACGGGUAACGGGGUGUUAGGGCACGACACCGGAGAGGGAGCUGAGAAACGGCUACCACAUCCAAGGAUGGCAGCAGGCGCGCAAAUUACCCAAUCCCGACACGGGGAGGUAGUGACAAUAAAUAACAAUACGGGGUUCUUUCGGAUUUCGUAAUUGGAAUGAGUACAAUUUAAAUCUCUUAACGAGGAACAAUUGGAGGGCAAGUCUGGUGCCAGCAGCCGCGGUAAUUCCAGCUCCAAUAGCGUAUAUUAAAGUUGCUGCAGUUAAAAAGCUCGUAGUUGAAUUUCGGGACUAAUAUGUCGGUCGUGCCUCGGUACGUACUGGUUUAUUGGUUUCUCCUUUCUGAAGAACCAUGAUGUCAUUUAUUUGGUGUCGUGGGGAAUCAGGACUGUUACUUUGAAAAAAUUAGAGUGUUUAAAGCAGGCUCACGCUUGAAUACAUUAGCAUGGAAUAAUGAAAUAGGACGUUUGAUUCUAUUUUGUUGGUUUCUAGGAUCGACGUAAUGAUUAAUAGGGAUAGUUGGGGGCAUUAGUAUUCAAUUGUCAGAGGUGAAAUUCUUGGAUUUAUUGAAGACUAACUACUGCGAAAGCAUUUGCCAAGGAUGUUUUCAUUAAUCAAGAACGAAAGUUAGGGGAUCGAAGACGAUCAGAUACCGUCGUAGUCUUAACCAUAAACUAUGCCGACUAGGGAUCGGAUGAUGUUAAUUUUUUAAUGACUCAUUCGGCGCCUUACGGGAAACCAAAGUGUUUGGGUU